CAAUUUCUACAGUUCAUGAGAUAAAUCAGGUCCUGGGUUUGGACAGAGACGCAGACUCUCUGAUGAGUGCAGCGAAGGAUCUUCUGGCAGAUGAACAUUUACCCAAGCGGCGCAGAAUACUGGGAGACCUUCUGAGGAAGCUGAGGGACAAAUCAGAGGUGGAGAACAAAGAUGACAAAGACUGGUUUGAAGGUAUUGAUGCUGGUUUAAAACCAAGUGUGCUUACAUGAAGUAUAACUGUGAGAGCAGAAUCCCAGGAUAUUUGAAAGAGGUUGAUGGAUAUAUACAGUCUAUUCCAAAUGCCAAGACAAAAAGUGAAUAUAGAAAGGUGGUGGAGAUCCUGGCAGAGAAACUGAAGGCUGCACGGUAUAAUGGCACCUAUUUUGACAGAUCGGAGAGGGACGUCCACAGGCUCUGCACUGAAGAGGGCUGGUUUCUCCUGCCAGGGAAGUCUUUGAUGAGACCAACUGUACAUUUCUUCACUCAAUAAACCCAUAUGGGAACCGUGAGAGCAGAAUUCUCUUCAGCACCUGGAAUCUGGACCACCUUUGAGUAGAUAGAAAAGAAGAGGACCAUCAUCCCCACACUUGCUGAGGCACUGAAGGGCAAUAAGAGCGGCGAUAUAAAUGUGGAUUAUUUCUACAAACUGUUGUUCACAAAGGAGAAACUCAAGCUGGUUCACAUCGUCUGCCAUAAGAAAGGAGCCCAUGAGCUCAGCUGCGACUCCCCAAAAAAAUGUACAAACGCAUCAGGACUGUGAAAUGAAAUAAUCCUCUUAUGAAUUAUGCAGCUUAUCACGUGACCGUUUCAAUUUUGGUGAAUCAGAAGUACUGAUGCAAGUUCAGAGAUGCUCAGGGCCCUUUUAUUUUAUUAUGGGGUUAUAGUGUUUUAGGUAUAUACCUUUUUAAUGGUAACUUUUAGUUUGUUAUACACCAAAUUUUGUACCUAAACAUUUGGUUAAUUAUGUGAAAAACAUUUUUAUGGGGUUUUAAAACAGUGACCGAUUUAAUAUUUUUUAUUUCAAUUUUUACUGGUUUAUUUAAAGACCUAAAUGUCUUUGAAAACCAUUUUAUCAUAAAACAUUUGUGGGAACAGGAUAUCCUGUACAGUUAAUGUUUGUAGUACUUUCAACAAACAAUAGCCUUGCUUAUUGUACAAAAUAUACUCGAGGCUUCGGUGUCAUCAACAUGUCAUUUUCCAACACUGUUAAUGAGCUUUAUUUUCUCUGGACGGAGUAUUUUAACUUUCAUUUGAUGAUUCACAGAAGAUUUGAUAUUAAAUAAUUUUGUCAUGUACAUGCAAAGCAUUUGGUAGCAAAACUAAAUCAACACUUAGUUUAUCACUUCAAUAGAAAAAUAUAACCUUCAAAAUCACACUUUUACCUUAUACAAUUUGUACAUAGUAGCAAAGAAACAUUUUAAAAUGCUACAUCUUUUAGCCACUUGUGAAAUUAGUGCAAAUCCUGUCAAAUAAG